ensembl:snRNA U6 U6 spliceosomal RNA
UUGCUCUCUUUGGUAGCACAUGUACUAUAAUUGGAAUGAUACGGAGAAGAUUAGCUGGCCUCUGUGCAAGGAUGAUAUGCACAUUUGUGAAGAAUUUCAUAUUUUU